GAAAUGCGAUAAGUAAUGUGAAUUGCAGAAUUCAGUGAAUCAUCGAAUCUUUGAACGCACAUUGCGCCCGCCAGUAUUCUGGCGGGCAUGCCUGUCCGAGCGUCAUUUCAACCAUCAAGCCCCCGGGCUUGUGUUGGGGACAUGCGGCUGCCCGCAGGCCCUGAAAACCAGUGGCGGGCUCGCUGUCACACCGAGCGUAGUAGCAAUCACCUCGCUCAGGGCGUGCUGCGGGUUCCGGCCGUUAAACAGCCUUACAAAACCCAAGGUUGACCUCGGAUCAGGUAGGAAGACCCGCUGAACUUAAGC
rnacentral:misc_RNA from 1 species